UCUAUUCUGAGUACAUAAGGAUGAGUACUGUGUAUUUAUUUUCGGCAUAAAAUUUACUUUAUUACCCAGUGUAAAUAGCGUUAGAAUAAAUGUUCAGUUGUAAACAUGAAUCUGAAAACUAUCUCUCAAUUUCAGAGUGAACUACAUUGGCUUGUGUAGCCGCAAGAUAUACAAAGCUAUCAAGAAAUGGACGGACAUUAUUCAUUAAGGCGCACAGCAACAAGCAUGUGUGAAUAAUGAGAGCUCAUCCAUCACAUCAGUUGAACAUGAAUUGAAAAGCCAGUGAAGACAAAAAAGAUGUAAGUUCCAUAAAAAAUAUAGAUUAACUAAUUAAGUUGCUUGAUCAUGAAUUUGUAAUAUUGUAUAAAAAUAGAUUUUAUGCAAAUAAUUUUUAUUUUAACAAAAAUUUCACAACAUAUUAGAAAUAAUGACCUCAGA